GAUGAACGCUGGCGGCGUGCUUAACACAUGCAAGUCGAACGGUGAAGGCGGAGCUUGCUCUGCUGGAGCAGUGGCGAACGGGGGAGUAACACGUUAGCAAUCUGCCCCUGACUCUGGGAUAAGCGCUGGAAACGGCGUCUAAUACUGGAUACGAACUUCUAAGCCUUCUUCAGCAGCUGAAAAGAUCUUCGGUCAGGGAUGAGCCCGCGGCCUAUCAGCUUGUUGGUAAGGUAAAAGCUCACCAAGGCGACGCCCCCUAGCUGGCCUGAGAGGAUGACCGGCCACACUGGGACUGAGACACGGCCCAGACUCCGACGGGAGGCAGCAGUGGGGAAUAUUGGACAAUGGGCGAAAGCCUGAUCCAGCAAUGCCGCGUGAGUGAUGAAGGCCUUAGGGUUGUAAAGCUCUUUUACACGAGAUGAUAAUGACAGUACCGGGAGAAUAAGCGCCGGCUAACUCCGUG
rnacentral:rRNA from 1 species